CAGUCGCCGCGGUAAUACAGAGGAUGCAAGCGUUAUCCGGAAUGAUUGGGCAUAAAGUGUCUGUAGGUGGCUUUUCAAGUCCGCCGUCAAAUCCCAGGGCUCAACCGUGGACAGGCGGUGGAAACUACCAAGCUGGAGUAUGGUAGGGGCAGAGGGAAUUUCCGGUGGAGCGGUGAAAUGCGUUGAGAUCGGAAGGAACGCCCGUGGCGAAAGCGAGGCCCUGGACCCUUUCUGACGCUGAGACGCGAAAGCCAGGGGAGCGAACGGGAUUAGAUACCCCCGUAGUCCCUGUCUCUUAUAC
rnacentral:rRNA from 1 species